AUUGAACGCUGGCGGCAUGCCUUACACAUGCAAGUCGAACGGUAACGGGUCCUUCGGGAUGCCGACGAGUGGCGAACGGGUGAGUAAUAUAUCGGAACGUGCCCAGUAGUGGGGGAUAACUGCUCGAAAGAGCAGCUAAUACCGCGUACGACCUGAGGGGUGAAAGGGGGGGAGUCGCAAGACCUCUCGCUAUUGGAGCGGCCGAUAUCAGAUUAGCUAGUUGGUGGGGGUAAAGGGACCUACCAAGGCGAACGAUCUGUAGUUGGUCUGAGAGGACGACCAGCCACACUGGGACGUGAGACACGGCCC
rnacentral:rRNA from 1 species